CAACUGCAAAUUUUAUUUUGAAGAUCUCACCUGGAAAAUCAAUACAACCCAGCUGGCCAGAAGGGCCCAACAGAGAAUCCAUUUCCUUAGGGCCUUGCAAAAGAAUAAAGUGGAACAAUGACUGAUGACCUCUUUUUACUGGUCCACAACAGAAAGCAUCCUCACAUAUUGUAUUACAGUGUGAUAUACUGGCUUGACAGCCAUGGAUAGAAAGACA